UACGAAGGGGGCUAGCGUUGUUCGGAAUUACUGGGCGUAAAGCGCGCGCAGGCGGCUAUCCAAGUCAGUGGUGAAAGCCCGGAGCUCAACUCCGGAACUGCCAUUGAAACUGUUUAGCUUGAGGACGAGAGAGGUGAGUGGAAUUCCCAGUGUAGAGGUGAAAUUCGUAGAUAUUGGAAAGAACACCGGUGGCGAAGGCGGCUCACUGGCUCGUAUCUGACGCUCAGGCGCGACAGCGUGGGGAUCAAACAGG
rnacentral:rRNA from 1 species